UACGGGGGGGGGUAAGCGUUGUUCGGAAUUACUGGGCGUAAAGGGCGCGUAGGCGGCCAUUCAAGUCGGGGGUGAAAGCCCAGGGCUCAACCCUGGAAUUGCCUUCGAUACUGUUUGGCUAGAGACCGGAAGAGGUAAGUGGAACUGCGAGUGUAGAGGUGAAAUUCGUAGAUAUUCGCAAGAACACCAGUGGCGAAGGCGGCUUACUGGUCCGGUUCUGGACGCUGAGG
rnacentral:rRNA from 1 species